rnacentral:rRNA from 1 species
GUCCAGACUCCUACGGGAGGCAGCAGUGAGGAAUAUUGGUCAAUGGACGAGAGUCUGAACCAGCCAAGUAGCGUGAAGGAUGACUGCCCUAUGGGUUGUAAACUUCUUUUAUAAAGGAAUAAAACGAGGCACGUGUGCCUUUUUGCAUGUACUUUAUGAAUAAGGAUCGGCUAACUCCGUGCCAGCAGCCGCGGUAAUACGAAGGGGGCAAGCGUUGUUCGGAAUUACUGGGCGUAAAGGGAGUGUAGGCGGUUUAGUAAGAUAGUGGUGAAAUCCCAGAGCUUAACUUUGGAAUUGCCAUUAUAACUAUUAGACUAGAAUUACAGAGAGGAUAGUGGAAUACCCAGUGUAGAGGUGAAAUUCGUAGAUAUUGGGUAGAACACCAGUGGCGAAGGCGACUAUCUGGCUGUACAUUGACGCUGAGGCUCGAAAGCAUGGGGAUCAAACAGGAUUAGAUACCCUUGUAUC